CAGCCUCCUUCCACCCACCCUCCCUGCGAUACUGAACUCUUGUCAAGACAUGCCUAAGAGCGAGCAGAGGGACAAAAGCAACUAGACGGUAUUUUGUCCAUGAAUAUGAGUGUACUGUUACCAGCAAAAUCCCACAGGAAGGAGGGACGGUGCAUGUAGGUUUGUUUGAAGUGCAGUGGCUGUUGAGAAGUGAACUGCAACCACUUAGCUAUUGUGCUCAGACUGCACGGCGGUUACCCUUGUCUGUGCUGCAGUAACUUGCACGCACGUUCCUUGGAAGAAUGUUUAUUUAAUAUUGAUAACUCAAAGGCGUAAUUUGAUGCUCGAUUCAAAGGUUACUGGGUACACAAUCCAUAUUUGUAACGUUCAAGAUAACAUUUUAUUUAGUGUAUCUUCAAAUAUGACAGGAAUGUUCUGACGCACUGAUUCUGCUUGUUUUUCCCUCCAGGCGGCUGGUACAGCGUGAAGUGCGGGGAAGGAGCACCACGGUGAAGGCAACUCUGGCCGAUCCUCACCAAGCCGCUCGCAAAAGGAUCUUGGACUAUGGGGCACAAAGAAGCAAGUGGUUGGUCCAGAAGAAUGUUUCAACUCUGCGAUGAAGGUGCCCACUCCCUUCAAAGGAGUUUUGUCAUAACACCAUGUUCUGUGGAUUACAGUAAAAGAGAUCCAAGGCAUGGGGAGACCGAGGGAAUGGUGGAAUGAACCUCGGAGACUGAAAACGAAGCUGAAAAAGGCAGCCUGCUGUUCUGACUGUCCACAGAGGAGGUUCUGUUGGAGCUGGAAAUCUCUGUGGGUGUGAUUCUUGCUGUCCCCUCUAUGGCCAGUGGGAGGCGGUGUGUGCAGCCUGGUACGUGGGCCCAGUCGGUGGUCGUGUGGGUGUAAGUAGAUGAAAACUUUCAGUGUGGGACAUGACAAACAGAGACACACAAAGCAUGUUUCCCUGCCAUCUUGAACCUAACUAAGCACCAGGCCACCGACUCACACCCAACAGUUUCUCUCUAAAACCUCUGUUAGUUUUGGUUUUAGAGAUACAAUAUGGAAGCAGGCCCUUCGGCCCACUGAGUCCGC